rnacentral:rRNA from 1 species
GAUGAACGCUGGCGGCGUGCCUAAUACAUGCAAGUCGAGCGAACAGACGAGGAGCUUGCUCCUCUGACGUUAGCGGCGGACGGGUGAGUAACACGUGGAUAACCUACCUAUAAGACUGGGAUAACUUCGGGAAACCGGAGAUAAUACCGGAUAAUAUAUUGAACCGCAUGGUUCAAUAGUGAAAGACGGUUUUGCUGUCACUUAUAGAUGGAUCCGCGCUGCAUUAGCUAGUUGGUAAGGUAACGGCUUACCAAGGCAACGAUGCGUAGCCGACCUGAGAGGGUGAUCGGCCACCCUGGAACUGAGACACGGUCCAGACUCCUACGGGAGGCAGCAGUAGGGAAUCUUCGGCAAUGGGCGAAAGCCUGACGGAGCAACGCCGCGUGAGUGAUGAAGGUCUUCGGAUCGUAAAACUCUGUUAUUAGGGAAGAACAAAUGUGUAAGUAACUAUGCACGUCUUGACGGUACCUAAUCAGAAAGCCACGGCUAACUACGUG